rnacentral:rRNA from 1 species
GACAGAGGAUGCAAGCGUUAUCCGGAAUGAUUGGGCGUAAAGCGUCUGUAGGUGGCUUUUCAAGUCCGCCGUCAAAUCCCAGGGCUCAACCCUGGACAGGCGGUGGAAACUACCAAGCUGGAGUACGGUAGGGGCAGAGGGAAUUUCCGGUGGAGCGGUGAAAUGCAUUGAGAUCGGAAAGAACACCAACGGCGAAGGCAGCUCGCUGGGACGUUACUGACGCUGAGACGCGAAAGCGUGGGGAGCAAACAGG